GUAUAAUUUUAAGCACAUAAGUUAUAAACACGGAUCCAAUAUAUCAAUGGGAAUUCCGUGAAUCCAACGUUGUAUCUAUAUAUAUAUAUAAAUGAGAUGGAUUUGGGCUAUGUGUCCUUUGUCUUUGGCCAUCUAGGCUGAUGUGGCAAUUUGGUUUAGGAGGGAAAUCCCAAUUUGCUUUAUACAAUCACGAUUCCAAGGAAAAAAGGCGGGAUCCGAAUUGAGUUGGGUCGGGUUUUUCGAAUUCGGGUCAUAGUAUAUAUUUCCUUUUUUUUUCUCAUUCUUCUUGCACACACUUUACAAACCCUAAAAAAACUAAGUUGCAUCCUCUCUCCUAUCACCACCACCAAGAUCCUCAAUUCUAAACCAUAGCCAAAUCUCUGCAACAUCAUCUUCUUCACACAAAUCAAUCCUAUUAACCAAUCAAAGGUAUGUUUCUAUGUUUUUAAUUUUAUUGUUUCUGAUUUCUUUGUUUUACGAUUGUAAUCUACACAAUCGAUCCUAAAUCUACUUUAUUUAUGUUAUUCAAUUCUAUAGAAACUUGAUUUUAUAAAGAUUGUGUCGAAUGCUAUUAACUUCUUCUUUGUCCUAAACUUUGUAGAUCUGAUCAUAAAAAUUGAAGGUAUGUUGUUUUAAUUUGUUGUUUAUCUAUUGUUUAUCUUUAAUCUAGCGAUUGAACAUUUAUCUUUCUGUUUUUUUUUUUUUUUUUUUUGCAAACAAAAUCAAGAUCAGAGGUUUUAUUAUCAUCAUCUACAUAUAUCAAAGUUACUAAUUUUUGUUGAUUUUGUUUUUCAUGUGGAACCCUAAAUCUUGGAUAAAAUCGGACUCCGAUCAUUCGUGAAACAACAGAGGUUAGUUAAAUGCUAUAGCUGUUUUUUUUUUAAGUUUGUGUAGGUUUGAUUUUAUCCUUUCUGUUCAGUAUUUCUUUUUUUUUUUCGUUGUUUGUUGGUUGUUUGUUGAUGAUGAUUUUGCAUUAUCCGAUUCCAAUCAUAUGAAAUGAUAUUUUGUUGAUGUUUUGAUUUUGUUCUCAUGUUACUCAUAUUUUUUACUUACAGUCUUUUAGUUUGUUGUUGAUGAUGAUAUGUUUUGAUUGUGUCCGAUGUUUUUUGAUUGUGUUGAUGAAGAUUUACAGUGGUCUGAUAUUUUUUCAUCCGGUAUAAAGUUUUUGUCUUCGGAAUAUUGAUUUUGGUUCUAAAAAAUAAAUAUUUUUUAUUUUUUUUUAAGCCGUUUCUUUUUAUUUUUGAAUUUGGAAGUUUCUCAAUUGAUUAAAUUAUCUUUUAAAGCUUAUUGAUUGUUGAUAUAGGAAUAUUGAUUGUUUUUCUAUAAAUACUUUACCGUUUUAUUUUUUUAAAAACCUUCAUAUAUAUUUUUCAGAUAUGCAUCCCUUGCACAACAGUCCUUCAUUUUUAAAGCUUAUUGAUGAAGAUGACCCGAUAUUUUUGGUACGUUUUUGUGGAUUCUAAUUACUAAUCAUAUUUUAAGUAAACUGAUAUAUAUCUUUUUUUAUUUUGUUUUAAACUUAUAGCAAAUAAAUGGUGAUCUAUAUUUAGUAUGAUAAUUUAUGGCAUUGGAUGUGAGUGAUAUAAUUUUCAGAAUUCAAAUUUUAAAUUUUAAAUUUUGAGGUUUCUAAUUUAAAAUUUUGAGCAAUUUUAAAUUUCGUUUUAGUGAUUUAUUUUUAGUAUGAUAAUUUUGCGGAAUUAAGGUUUCUGUUUCUAUAAAUAAAUAGUGUUACGUUUUUUGAAACCUCAAAUUUAAAAUUUUAAGGUUUCUAUUUAUAUUUCCGGAAUUUAAAUUUUAAAUUUAAGAAUUUGAUCAAUUUUAAAUUUCGUUAGUGAAUUAUUUUUAGUAUGAUUAUUUUCCGGAAUUAGGGUUUCUAUUUCCGGAAUUCAAAUUUUAAAUUUAUAUUUUUGAGCAAUUUUAAAAUUUGUUAAUGAUUUUUUUUUGAAACCUCAAAUUUAAAUUUUAGUGAUUUAUUUUUAGUAUGAUAAUUUUUCCGGAAUUAAGGUUUCUAUUUAAAUUUUAAAUUUAAAAGUUUUCCAUUAAUGUGUUUCAUUUUAAAUUUCGAAUCUGUAAAUUGAAUUUAAAUUUGAAAGGUUAGAUUUUCCUAAUAAGUUUGCUUGAUUUACGGGAUUGGAUAUUAGUGAUUUGAUUUUCAGAUUUUAAAUUUUAAAUUUUGAAGUCAAUCAUUAUUUUAAAUUUAAAUUUUGAAGUAAACCAUUAUUGUGUUUGAUUUUAAAUUUUGUAUGCUUUGAAAUCUUGAUGUUUUUUUAUGAGAUGCUUUGACUAUAUUAUUUGUAAUUUUAGGGAUGCUUCGAGUCUUUGACUAUUGUUUUUGUACUCGAGUGAAGAGCUUCUUUCAGACUCCUUCCCCUACAAGGAACUAUUGAAUGGGUUCCUAUGAGAAGUUGAAGAAAAGGUAUAUCUUGCACUGUUUUGUGAGUUAUAAUUUUUUGUAUUUUAGUUAUAAUUUUUGUAUUUAAUUAGUUUUUAAUUCUUUAAAGAUGUCCUUAAUUUCUUUUUAAAUCUGUUUUUGUUUCUAUAAAUAGAUUAGUGUUGUUAAAGAUGAUUUUUGUAUUCGAAAUUAUGAUUCGGUUUCUGUAAAUAGACUUUGUUUCUAUAAAUAGAUUACCGUUAUAUUUUUUUU
rnacentral:lncRNA from 1 species